AGAGUUUGAUCCUGGCUCAGGAUGAACGCCGGCGGUGUGCCUAAUACAUGCAAGUCGUACGCACUGGCCCAACUGAUUGAUGGUGCUUGCACCUGAUUGACGAUGGAUCACCAGUGAGUGGCGGACGGGUGAGUAACACGUAGGUAACCUGCCCCGGAGCGGGGGGAUAACAUUUGGAAACAGAUGCUAAUACCGCAUAACAACAAAAGCCACAUGGCUUUUGUUUGAAAGAUGGCCUUGGCUAUCACUCUGGGAUGGACCUGCGGUGCAUUAGCUAGUUGGUAAGGUAACGGCUUACCAAGGCGAUGAUGCAUAGCCGAGUUGAGAGACUGAUCGGCCACAAUGGAACUGAGACACGGUCCAUACUCCUACGGGAGGCAGCAGUAGGGAAUCUUCCACAAUGGGCGCAAGCCUGAUGGAGCAACACCGCGUGAGUGAAGAAGGGUUCCGGCUCGUAAAGCUCUGUUGUUGGAGAAGAACGUGCGUGAGAGUAACUGUUCACGCAGUGACGGUAUCCAACCAGAAAGUCACGGCUAACUACGUGCCAGCAGCCGCGGUAAUACGUAGGUGGCAAGCGUUAUCCGGAUUUAUUGGGCGUAAAGCGAGCGCAGGCGGUUGCUUAGGUCUGAUGUGAAAGCCUUCGGCUUAACCGAAGAAGUGCAUCGGAAACCGGGCGACUUGAGUGCAGAAGAGGACAGUGGAACUCCAUGUGUAGCGGUGGAAUGCGUAGAUAUAUGGAAGAACACCAGUGGCGAAGGCGGCUGUCUGGUCUGCAACUGACGCUGAGGCUCGAAAGCAUGGGUAGCGAACAGGAUUAGAUACCCUGGUAGUCCAUACCGUAAACGAUGA
rnacentral:rRNA from 1 species